rnacentral:tRNA from 1 species
GCCUGGGUGGCUCAGCCGGUUAAGCGUCUGACUUCGGCUCAGGGCAUGAUCUCAUGGUUUGUGGGUUUAAGCCCCAUGUCAGGCU